rnacentral:rRNA from 1 species
AGCAGCCGCGGUAAUUCCAGCUCCAAUAGCGUAUAUUAAAGUUGUUGCAGUUAAAAAGCUCGUAGUUGAAUUUCGGGGCCAGUAGGUUGGUCGUGCCACUGGUAUGCACUGGCCUCACUGGUCCCUCCUUCUUGUAGAACCGUGAUGGCAUUAAUUUGUUGUUGCGGGGAAACAGGACUGUUACUUUGAAAAAAUUAGAGUGCUUAAAGCAGGCUCGCGCUUGAAUACAUUAGCAUGGAAUAACGAAAUAGGACGAUCGAACCUAUUUUGUUGGUUUCUAGGAUCGACGUAAUGAUUAAUAGGGAUAGUUGGGGGCAUUAGUAUUCAAUUGUCAGAGGUGAAAUUCUUGGAUUUAUUGAAGACUAACUACUGCGAGGGCAUUUGCCAAGGAUGUUUUCAUUAAUCAAGAACGAAAGUUAGGGGAUCGAAGACGAUCAGAUACCGUCGUAGUCUUAACCAUAAACUAUAGCCGACUAGGGAUCGGAUGAAGUUAAUUUUUUAAUGUACUCAUUCGGCGCCU